UAUCUUAGUGGCGGACGGGUGAGUAACGCGUGGGUAACCUGCCUUAUACAGGGGGAUAACACUUAGAAAUAGGUGCUAAUACCGCAUAAGCGCACGGGGCUGCAUGGCCCAGUGUGAAAAACUCCGGUGGUAUAAGGUGGACCCGCGUCUGAUUAGCUUGUUGGCGGGGUAACGGCCCACCAAGGCGACGAUCAGUAGCCGGCCUGAGAGGGUGGACCGGCCACAUUGGGACUGAGACACGGCCCAAACUCCUACGGAAGGCAGCAG
rnacentral:rRNA from 1 species